rnacentral:rRNA from 1 species
ACUCCUACGGGAGGCAGCAGUGGGGAAUAUUGCACAAUGGGCGAAAGCCUGAUGCAGCAACGCCGCGUGAGGGAUGACGGCCUUCGGGUUGUAAACCUCUUUUAGCAGGGAAGAAGCGAAAGUGACGGUACCUGCAGAAAAGCGCCGGCUAACUACGUGCCAGCAGCCGCGGUAAUACGUAGGGCGCAAGCGUUAUCCGGAAUUAUUGGGCGUAAAGAGCUCGUAGGCGGUUUGUCGCGUCUGCUGUGAAAUCCCGAGGCUCAACCUCGGGCCUGCAGUGGGUACGGGCAGACUAGAGUGCGGUAGGGGAGAUUGGAAUUCCUGGUGUAGCGGUGGAAUGCGCAGAUAUCAGGAGGAACACCGAUGGCGAAGGCAGAUCUCUGGGCCGUAACUGACGCUGAGGAGCGAAAGGGUGGGGAGCAAACAGGCUUAGAUACCCUGGUAGGCGUAGU